rnacentral:rRNA from 1 species
GNAUUUAUUGGGCGUAAAGGGAGCGCNGGCGGUCAGGAAAGUCUGGAGUAAAAGGCUAUGGNUCAACCAUAGUGUGCUCUGGAAACUNUCUGACUUGAGUGCAGAAGGGGAGAGUGGAAUUCCAUGUGUAGCGGUGAAAUGCGUAGAUAUAUGGAGGAACACCAGUGGCGAAAGCGGCUCUCUGUUCUGUCACUGACGCUGAGGCUCGAAAGCGUGGGUAGCGAACAGGAUUAGAUACCCUGGUAGUCCACGCCGUAAACGAUGAGUGCUAGGUGUUAGGCCCUUUCCGGGGCUUAGUGCCGGAGCUAACGCAAUAAGCACUCCGCCUGGGGAGUACGACCGCAAGGUUGAAACUCAAAGGAAUUGACGGGGGCCCGCACAAGCGGUGGAGCAUGUGGUUUAAUUCGAAGCAACGCGAAGAACCUUACCAGGUCUUGACAUCCCGACGCUAUUCUUAGAGAUAGGAAGUUACUUCGGUACAUCGGAGACAGGUGGUGCAUGGUUGUCGUCAGCUCGUGUCGUGAGAUGUUGGGUUAAGUCCCGCAACGAGCGCAACCCUUAUUGUUAGUUGCCAUCAUUAAGUUGGGCACUCUAGCGAGACUGCCGGUAAUAAACCGGAGGAAGGUGGGGAUGACGUCAAAUCAUCAUGCCCCUUAUGACCUGGGCUACACACGUGCUACAAUGGUCGGUACAACGAGUUGCGAGCCGGUGACGGCAAGCUAAUCUCUGAAAGCCGAUCUCAGUUCGGAUUGGAGGCUGCAACUCGCCUCCAUGAAGUCGGAAUCGCUAGUAAUCGCGGAUCAGCACGCCGCGGUGAAUACGUUCCCGGGCCUUGUACACACCGCCCGUCACACCACGAGAGUUUGUAACACCCGAAGUCGGUGAGGUAACCUUUUAGGG